rnacentral:rRNA from 1 species
CGGGUUUACAAGUCCCUUGUGAAAUCGGGCGGCCCAACCGUUCGGCUUGCAAGGGAAACUGUGAACCUAGGGGCCGGGAGACGCCAAGGGUACUCCGGGGGUAGCGGUGAAAUGCUGUAAUCCUCGGGGGACCGCCAAUGGCGAAAGCACUUGGCGAGAACGGACCCGACGGUGAGGGACGAAAGCCAGGGGAGCGAACCGGAUUAGAUACCCGGGUAGUCCUGGCCGUAAAGAAUGCAGGUUAGGUGCUGGAUGUCCCUCGAGGGCGUUCGGUGCCGUAGGGAAGCCGUUAAACCUGCCGCCUGGGGA